AAAAUAAGAAUUUGGGAAAUUUUUUGGAAUUUUUUCGAGACUAUGAAAACAGUAAAAAAAUCAUAAAAAAUAGAAAAAAGAUUUGGCCAAAACAGAAUUUGAAUCGGACACAAUUUUUCAGAAAACCGGGUUUUUGGACCAGGACAGACCAGGUCGGGCGAACGGACGCGAAUUGGCCAAAAAAACAAAUCGGAGGGCCAACACGCAAC
rnacentral:lncRNA from 1 species